AUGGCAUGCUGUGCUUAUGUUCUUUUGAUUAUCUGUCGACAUUUUCAGCAUGCUGUGUGCAUGAUGUGCGCAGACAUGACAAGGUUUGUAAAUUUUUGUCGACAUUUUCAGCACUCUGUGCGCAUGCUCUGUGCACGUUGCGCGCAGGCUUCGUGCAUGAUGCGCAUAGGCUGCGUGCAGGGGUGGGAAGUGUGAAGCUCAGGGUUCUCAAGGUGCUUCCUGAUCUCCUUCGAUUUGACUUUGUUCUUAUUGAAUACUAUAUUUGCUAAAAAUUCCUUACUGUAUAUGAGUAUAUUCCGAACUGAUUGGCGAUCUUGUUUGCGUGUCUGCUUCUUCAUAUUCUUCUUAGCAAUUCAAUGCUAUUGCUUUGGGAUUUAAAAAUGCUUCAACUUUUGUACAAAAUUUGCAUACAGAGCAUUUUAUACCUACGUUUUCUUGUUGAAAUUAAUCUUUGUUUCCUUAGCCAUUUCUGCUCCAAGAUUACGGAAAAUUUAGAAUUCAUAAUUUUUGGGGUAGAGCAUUUACCUUCGGAAAUUUUUUGUUUACACUACAUUAUGCAACUCUAG
rnacentral:lncRNA from 1 species